UGGUGGAGUGAUUUGUCUGGUUAAUUCCGUUAACGAACGAGACCUCGACCUGCUAAAUAGAGCAACUAAUCCUUGUGAUUGGUUGGUACUUCUUAGAGGGACUGUCGGUGCUUAGCCGAUGGAAGUUCGAGGCAAUAACA
rnacentral:rRNA from 1 species